rnacentral:rRNA from 1 species
UACAGAGGGUGCGAGCGUUAAUCGGAAUUACUGGGCGUAAAGGGCGCGUAGGCGGUUAUAUAAGUUAGAUGUGAAAUCCCUGGGCUUAACCUAGGAACUGCAUCUAAUACUGUAUGACUGGAGUGCAGUAGAGGAUAGUGGAAUUUCCGGUGUAGCGGUGGAAUGCGUAGAUAUCGGAAGGAACACCAGUGGCGAAGGCGGCUGAUCUGGACUGACACCUGACGCUGAGGCGCGAAAGCGUGGGGAUCAAACAGG